rnacentral:rRNA from 1 species
AUUGAACGCUGGCGGCAGGCCUAACACAUGCAAGUCGAGCGGAUGAAGGGAGCUUGCUCCUGGAUUCAGCGGCGGACGGGUGAGUAAUGCCUAGGAAUCUGCCUGGUAGUGGGGGAUAACGUCCGGAAACGGGCGCUAAUACCGCAUACGUCCUGAGGGAGAAAGUGGGGGAUCUUCGGACCUCACGCUAUCAGAUGAGCCUAGGUCGGAUUAGCUAGUUGGUGGGGUAAAGGCCUACCAAGGCGACGAUCCGUAACUGGUCUGAGAGGAUGAUCAGUCACACUGGAACUGAGACACGGUCCAGACUCCUACGGGAGGCCGCAGUGGGGAAUAUUGGACAAUGGGCGAAAGCCUGAUCCAGCCCUGCCGCGUGUGUGAAGAAGGUCUUCGGAUUGUAAAACACUUUAAGUUGGGAGGAAGGGCAGUAAGUUAAUACCUUGCUGUUUUGACGUUACCAACAGAAUAAGCACCGGCUAACUUCGUG